rnacentral:lncRNA from 1 species
CCAGCUAAGCAGUAGGUUCUUAGGAAAACUGUGUGUCUUGGAGAAUGAAUUUCCAUCAGAGGUAAGUGAUUGGCAUGCUUUUUUCUGUUUUUGAUUAAAAAUAAUUUUAAUAUAAUAUUUUACUAGAUUGUCUGACCAGAAAAGAAAUUACUAAAAAUCAUAGCUAUAGAGGCACUUUAACAAAAUAAAUAUUUAAUACCUGGGACCUAUUUGGUACUUUUCUCUUUGCCCCUUCUUAUUACAAGUACCUGAAUUCUCAUGCUUGAUUGCCAGAUGGGAUCUUGAAGUGUCUGGCCAAGUCCUGUGGGGGUCAGAGCCCUCUGUUGCGGCUGAGCCUUGGACCAGCAGUGAUCAGAAACCUUUCCUGGGGGGAGGCUUUUGUUUGCUUGCAGGAAUGUUUCUGGGCCACCACCCCAGGUAGCCCAUUCACCGUCCUGGCAGGGAGAGCUCAUAAAAGAGGCAGCCUAUUUCACUUUUUUCUUUCCUCCUUAUCAACUGGGACAGUUUGUUUUUCCCUCUGACUCAUAGAUCCGGAAUUUCAGGACUAGAAAGGGGCUCCCCUGCUGUUUUCUUCAAGUGACAAAAAGACAAAGAUAGAGUUUAGCUACCUAUAGUGCAUUUU